rnacentral:lncRNA from 1 species
UGUCUGAAGUCAUCUUUCAGGGGCUUGUUUGAAGAGGUAAAGGUUUCUUUAGACCAAGUAAGCAAAACUAAGUUUUACUGGUUUUCUGUAAAAAGACCAAUUCUCUAAGGUUAUUUAAGCUUUUUAUAGCUUACUGUUUCUGAAUGUACUAAAUAUGGUGAAUUAGAAUUUGAUAUGUGGACCAUGAAAUCAGUAUAAGCUUGUGUACUGUCUAGAGGAGUUGUGUCUGUCACUAUCAGUUAAACAGAGCAUGGCACAGGCACACAGAACAAGUUAAUAUUUUCAUUUUUACUGGGGAAUCUUUUUAUUAACAAC